rnacentral:rRNA from 1 species
UCGAUGUCUAGGGGUUCUGAGAGGAUUGUCCCCCACACUGGUACUGAGACACGGACCAGACUCCUACGGGAGGCAGCAGUGAGGAAUAUUGGUCAAUGGGCGAGAGCCUGAACCAGCCAUGCCGCGUGCAGGAUGAAGGUUCUAUGAAUCGUAAACUGCUUUUCUACAGGAAGAAACCUACCCUCGUGAGGGUAGUUGCCGGUACUGUAGGAAUAAGCACCGGCUAACUCCGUGCCAGCAGCCGCGGUAAUACGGAGGGUGCAAGCGUUAUCCGGAUUUAUUGGGUUUAAAGGGUGCGUAGGCGGAAUAUUAAGUCAGUGGUGAAAUCCUGCGGCUCAACCGUAGAACUGCCAUUGAUACUGAUAUUCUUGAAUGUAGUUGAGGUAGGCGGAAUGUGUAAUGUAGCGGUGAAAUGCUUAGAUAUUACACAGAACACCGAUUGCGAAGGCAGCUUACUAAACUAUGAUUGACGCUGAGGCACGAAAGCGUGGGGAGCGAACAGGAUUAGAUACCCUGGUAGUCCACGCUGUAAACGAUGAUCACUCGUUGUUUGCGAUAUAUUGUAAGCGACUGAGCGAAAGCAUUAAGUGAUCCACCUGGGGAGUACGUUCGCAAGAAUGAAACUCAAAGGAAUUGACGGGGGCCCGCACAAGCGGAGGAACAUGUGGUUUAAUUCGAUGAUACGCGAGGAACCUUACCUGGGUUUAAAUGUAGGUUGCAUGAACGGGAAACUGUUCUUUCUUUCGGGACUACCUACAAGGUGCUGCAUGGUUGUCGUCAGCUCGUGCCGUGAGGUGUCGGGUUAAGUCCCAUAACGAGCGCAACCCCUAUCGUUAGUUGCCAUCAGGUCAUGCUGGGGACUCUAACGAGACUGCCGGUGUAAACCGUGAGGAAGGUGGGGAUGACGUCAAAUCAGCACGGCCCUAUAUCCAGGGCUACACACGUGUUACAAUGGUCGGUACAAAGGGCAGCUACCUGGUGACAGGAUGCUAAUCUCUAAAGCCGAUCACAGUUCGGAUCGAAGUCUGCAACUCGACUUCGUGAAGUUGGAUUCGCUAGUAAUCGCGCAUCAGCCACGGCGCGGUGAAUACGUUCCCGGGCCUUGUACACACCGCCCGUCAAGCCAUGGAAGCUGGGGGUGUCUGAAGUCUGUAACCGCAAGGAGCGGCCUAAGGUAAAACUGGUAACUGGGGCUAAGUCGUAACAAGGUA